UACGUAGGGGGCUAGCGUUGUCCGGAAUCAUUGGGCGUAAAGAGCGCGUAGGCGGCCAGAUAAGUCCGGUGUGAAAGUCACAGGCUCAACCUGUGAAUGCCGCUGGAAACUGUCUGGCUAGAGUCCGGGAGGGGCGAGUGGAAUUCCUGGUGUAGCGGUGAAAUGCGCAGAUAUCAGGAGGAACACCGGUGGCGAAGGCGGAUCUCUGGGCCUUACCUGACGCUCAGGCGCGAAAGCUAGGGGAGCGAACAGG
rnacentral:rRNA from 1 species